GUGCCAGCCGCCGCGGUAAUACGGAGGAUCCAAGCGUUAUCCGGAAUCAUUGGGUUUAAAGGGUCCGUAGGCGGGAUGAUAAGUCAGUGGUGAAAGUCUGCAGCUCAACUGUAGAAUUGCCAUUGAUACUGUUGUUCUUGAGUUAUUGUGAAGUGGUUAGAAUGAGUAGUGUAGCGGUGAAAUGCAUAGAUAUUACUCAGAAUACCGAUUGCGAAGGCAGAUCACUAACAAUGAACUGACGCUGAUGGACGAAAGCGUAGGUAGCGAACAGGAUUAGAAACCCCUGUAGUCC
rnacentral:rRNA from 1 species